rnacentral:piRNA from 1 species
UUCCACUUUCGGGUAGGCGACAUGGUA